AGUCGAGCGAGCGGAACUAACAGAUUUACUUCGGUAAUGACGUUAGGAAAGCGAGCGGCGGAUGGGUGAGUAACACGUGGGGAACCUGCCCCAUAGUCUGGGAUACCACCUGGAAACAGGUGCCAAUACCGGAUAAGAAAGCAGAUCGCAUGAUCAGCUUUUAAAAGGCGGCGUAAGCUGUCGCUAUGGGAUGGCCCCGCGGUGCAUUAGCUAGUUGGUAAGGUAAAGGCUUACCAAGGCGAUGAUGCAUAGCCGAGUUGAGAGACUGAUCGGCCACAUUGGGACUGAGACACGGCCCAAACUCCUACGGGAGGCAGCAGUAGGGAAUCUUCCACAAUGGACGCAAGUCUGAUGGAGCAACGCCGCGUGAGUGAAGAAGGUUUUCGGAUCGUAAAGCUCUGUUGUUGGUGAAGAAGGAUAGAGGUAGUAACUGGCCUUUAUUUGACGGUAAUCAACCAGAAAGUCACGGCUAACUACGUGCCAGCAGCCGCGGUAAUACGUAGGUGGCAAGCGUUGUCCGGAUUUAUUGGGCGUAAAGCGAGCGCAGGCGGAAGAAUAAGUCUGAUGUGAAAGCCCUCGGUUUAACCGAGGAACUGCAUCGGAAACUGUUUUUCUUGAGUGCAGAAGAGGAGAGUGGAACUCCAUGUGUAGCGGUGGAAUGCGUAGAUAUAUGGAAGAACACCAGUGGCGAAGGCGGCUCUCUGGUCUGCAACUGACGCUGAGGCUCGAAAGCAUGGGUAGUGAACAGGAUUAGAUACCCUGGU
rnacentral:rRNA from 1 species